rnacentral:rRNA from 1 species
GACGAACGCUGGCGGCGUGCCUAAUACAUGCAAGUCGAACGCAGUGGGGACGGGUGAGUAACACGUGGGUAACCUCCCAUCAGAGGGGAUAACACUUGGAAACAGGUGCUAAACCGAUCCUGAUGGAUGGACCCGCGGUGCAUUAGCGAGUUGGUGAGGGAACGGCUCACCAAGGCCACGAGGCAUAGCCGACCUGAGAGGAUGACCAUCAACACGGGGACUGGGACACGGCCCAGACUCCUACGGGAGGCAGCAGUGGGGAAUAUUGCACAAUGGGCGCAAGCCUGAUGAAGCAAUGCAGCGGGUAGGAAGAAGGCCCUAGGGUUGUAAAGUACUUUCAGUCGGGAGGCGUUACCGACAGAAGAAGCACCGGCUAACUCCGUGCCAGCAGCCGCGGUAAUAC